AUGGAGUUUGGACUGAGCUGCGUUUUCCUUCUUGCUGUAUUAAAAGGUGUCCAGUGUGAGGUGCAGCUGGUGGAGUCCGGGGGAGGCUUGGUGAAGCCUGGGGUGUCUCUGAGACUCACCUGUGUCGCCUCUGGAUUCACCUUUAGACACUACAGCAUGCACUGGGUCCGCCAGGCUCCAGGGAAGGGGCUGGAGUGGGUCUCAGCCAUUAGCGGGAGUGGUGGUAGCACAUCCUACGCAGACUCCGUGAAGGGCCGAUUCACCAUCUCCAGGGAAAACGCCAAGAACACACUGUAUCUGCAAACUGAAAAUGCGAGAGCUGAGGACACGGCCACGUAUUACUGUGCGAGAGACACAGUGAGGGGACGUCAGUGGGAGCCCAGACAAGAACCUACUGCAGGGACACACGGGACCAGCAGGGGGCGCUCAGGACCCACCAAGUUCAAGGCUGAUUCCCUUGGGCAGGCUAAGAUGGCACCUAUGCACCGCGACAAAGAGGAGUCAGUCUGGCCUUUGUGGCAGAGUGGACUGAGUGGACCUGUGUGGAACCAACUACGAAAAGAGAAAUAUAAGGACACGCUGGACUGGAUUUUUGUUGUUUCCUUUCGUGUCCCCCAGGCCAAGACAAAUGUUAGCAGCAAUUGCGUUGGAUAUUUCUGUAUGGACAAGAUCCACCUUUACCUGAAACAGCUCUCAGGUGAUGCAUAA